ACCCUGUGCUUUUUUGCAUCGCAACCAUACUCAUAUCCUAUAGAUCUUAAUAUUAGUAGUUUAAAAUUCCACUGACAAAAUUGUCAUUUCCUGCCUCUAAAAUAAUCUCAGUAUGAUUAUUUUCCUGAGAACCACUCUUCAAUCUGCAACUUUAGGAUUCCAUUUCAUUGAUCAUUCAGCAUGCUUGAGAAUAUGAGCAUGAGCGUGGCAGCUGUUGGAUGAGAGUGAAAUUUCCCACCCGAGAAAUGGAGUGCUCA
rnacentral:misc_RNA from 1 species